AGCGAACGCUGGCGGCAGGCCUAACACAUGCAAGUCGAACGAACCCUUCGGGGUUAGUGGCGGACGGGUGAGUAACACGUGGGAACGUGCCUUUAGGUUCGGAAUAACUCAGGGAAACUUGUGCUAAUACCGAAUGUGCCCUUCGGGGGAAAGAUUUAUCGCCUUUAGAGCGGCCCGCGUCUGAUUAGCUAGUUGGUGAGGUAAUGGCUCACCAAGGCUACGAUCAGUAGCUGGUCUGAGAGGAUGACCAGCCACAUUGGGACUGAGACGCGGCCCAAACUCCUACGGGAGGCAGCAGUGGGGAAUCUUGCGCAAUGGGCGAAAGCCUGACGCAGCCAUGCCGCGUGGAUGAUGAAGGUCUUAGGAUUGUAAAAUCCUUUCACCGGUGAAGAUAAUGACUGUAGCCGGAGAAGAAGCCACGGCUAACUUCGUGCCAGCCGCCGCGGUAAAAC
rnacentral:rRNA from 1 species